rnacentral:misc_RNA from 1 species
GUUUAAUCCUUUUGAUGACAUCAAUCAAUGUUGCGUAAUUGGUCUCCCUGGUGAUAUUGAUGAGCAAUGCAUUGAUGCCAGGAAUAACGGAAGAUCUGUUUUGCUUGAUGUUCAUCAGGGUCGGUUGAGGUAUAUGGAGGCGUCUGUGGUGUCCGUGUAUCCCUUUGGAUUUUCAGGCAUUUCUGUUUGGGUUCUUGAUGAGUAUGACUCUUCAAGUUGGACUUUGCAGCACAAGGUAAAGAUCAAAGACAUCUCGUUCGAUGACAUUUUAAUUAGCAGAGCGUUAAAUGGGACAAUUCCUACUCCGAUUGCCUUCCAUCCGCUUGAUUCCAACAUCUUUUACCUUGGUUUCGGUGAUACCAUUGCCUCAUACAACAUGAAAACAUUAAAAUUGGAUGCCCUUGAUGAUCCAGUUGACAUUCGAGGUACACUUCAAAGAAAUGGACGGGGUAGCCUUAGAAAAACGCCUUGUUGGUCAUCAGCAUUCUUGUUUACGCUUCCUCCAUGGCCAAUAUCUCUUCCUAAUAAGAAAAGAAACAGUAAGUAAAUGGUGAUUU